rnacentral:rRNA from 1 species
UACGUAGGGUGCAAGCGUUAAUCGGAAUUACUGGGCGUAAAGCGUGCGCAGGCGGUUUUGUAAGUCUGUCGUGAAAUCUCUGGGCUCAACUCAGAGUCUGCAUUAGAAACUGUCGGGCUUGAGUAUGGUAGAGGAAGGUGGAAUUCCCGGUGUAGCAGUGAAAUGCGUAGAGAUCGGGAGGAACACCAGUGGCGAAGGCGGCCUUCUGGACCAAUACUGACGCUCAUGCACGAAAGCGUGGGGAGCAAACAGG